GGACUGAGAGACGGCCCAUACUCCUACGGGAGGCAGCAGCAGGGAAUAUUGCACAAUGGACGGGAGUCUGAUGCAGCGACGCCGCGUGAGUGAAGGAGGCCUUCGGGUUGUAAAACUCUUUUCGAGGGGAAGAGGGAGGACGGUACCCUCGGAAUAAGCGUCGGCUAACUACGUGCCAGCAGCCGCGGUAAUACGUAGGACGCGAGCGUUAUCCGGAAUGACUGGGCGUAAAGCGUCUGUAGGCGGUUAGGUAAGUUGGGUGUGAAAGCUCCAGGCUUAACUUGGAGAGGACGUUCAAUACUGUCUAACUGGAGGGCGUGAGAGGGGAGCGGAAUUUCCGGUGUAGCGGUAAAAUGCGCAGAUAUCGGGAAGAACACCAGUGGCGCAGGCGGCUCCCUGGUACGCACCUGACGCUGAGAGACGAAAGCUAGGGGAGCGAACAGGAUUAGAGACCCUGGUAGUCCUAGCCCUAAACGCUGGAUGCCAGGUGCGGGGUCGAAGAGGCUCCGUGCCGGAGCUAACGCGUUAAGCAUCCCGCCUGAGGAGUACGGCCGCAAGGUUAAAACUCAAACGAAUUGACGGGGCCCCGCACAAGCAGCGGAGCGUGUGGUUUAAUUCGAUGUUACACGAAGAACCUUACCUGGGUUGGACAUGGAGGUGGUAGGGAAGCGAAAGCUGACCGACCCGUAAGGGGGCCUUCACAGGUGCUGCAUGGCUGUCGUCAGCUCGUGCCGUGAGGUGUCGGGUUAAGUCCCGUAACGAGCGCAACCCCUGCUCCUAGUUACACGUAUCUAGGGGGACUGCUGGCGGGAAGCCGGAGGAAGGUGGGGAUGACGUCAAGUCAGCAUGGCCCUUAUGUCCAGGGCUACACACACGCUACAAUGGUCGGUACAAAGGGUAGCGCAGCCGCGAGGUGGAGCGAAUCUCAGCAAAGCCGACCGUAGUACGGAUUGCAGGCUGCAACCCGCCUGCAUGAAGCUGGAGUUGCUAGUAACCGCGCGUCAGCGAUAGUGCGGUGAAUACGUUCCCGGGGCUUGUACACACCGCCCGUCACGUCAUGGGAGUCGGUAACGCCUGAAGCCGGUAGUCUAACGCGGAAGCGGGGACGCUGUCGAAGGCGGGGCUGGCGACUGGGACGAAGUCGUAACAAGGUAGCGGUACCGGAAGGUGCGGCUG
rnacentral:rRNA from 1 species